GAUGAACGCUGGCGGCGUGCCUAAUACAUGCAAGUCGAGCGAACGGACGAGAAGCUUGCUUUUCUGAUGUUAGCGGCGGACGGGUGAGUAACACGUGGAUAACCUACCUAUAAGACUGGGAUAACUUCGGGAAACCGGAGCUAAUACCGGAUAAUAUUUUGAACCGCAUGGUUCAAAAGUGAAAGACGGUCUUGCUGUCACUUAUAGAUGGAUCCGCGCUACAUUAGCUAGUUGGUAAGGUAACGGCUUACCAAGGCAACGAUGCAUAGCCGACCUGAGAGGGUGAUCGGCCACACUGGAACUGAGACACGGUCCAGACUCCUACGGGAGGCAGCAGUAGGGAAUCUUCCGCAAUGGGCGAAAGCCUGACGGAGCAACGCCGCGUGAGUGAUGAAGGUCUUCGGAUCGUAAAACUCUGUUAUUAGGGAAGAACAUAUGUGUAAGUAACUGUGCACAUCUUGACAGUACCUAAUCAGAAAGCCACGGCUAACUACGUG
rnacentral:rRNA from 1 species